rnacentral:rRNA from 1 species
CAGCCGCCGCGGUAAUACCGGCGGCCCGAGUGGCGGUCACUUUUUUUGGGCUUAAAGCGUCCGUAGCCGGGUUGGGAAGUCCUCCGGGAAAUCUGGCCGCUUAACGGUCAGAAUGCCGGAGGAUACUCCCAGCCUAGGGAGCGGGGGAGGCCGAGGGGAUUCCCGGAGUAGGGGGGAAAUCCUAUAAUCCCGGGAGGACCCCCUGUGGCGAAGGCGCUCGGCUGGAACGCGUCCGACGGUGAGGGACGAAGGCCAGGGGAGCAAACCGGAUUAUAUACCCGGGUAGUCCUGGCUGUAAACGAUGCGGACUUUGUGUCGGACAAGCUAUGAGCUUGUCCGGUGCCGGAGGGAAACCGUUAAGUCCGCCGCCUGGGGAGUACGGCCGCAAGGCUGAAACUUAAAGGAAUUGGCGGG